rnacentral:rRNA from 1 species
UACGUAGGGGGCGAGCGUUGUCCGGAAUUACUGGGCGUAAAGCGCAUGUAGGCGGGCGACUAAGUCAGGGGUGAAAACCGUGGGCUCAACCUACGGCUUGCCCUUGAUACUGGUCGUCUUGAGUACAGGAGAGGGAAGCGGAAUUCCCGGUGUAGCGGUGAAAUGCGUAGAUAUCGGGAGGACCACCUGUGGCGAAGGCGCUCGGCUGGAACGCGUCCGACGGUGAGGGACGAAGGCCAGGGGAGCAAACCGG